AUUGAAUAUUAAAUAUUCCAUAUUUCUCUUGAACUGUGUUCUCUUCGAUAAUGUCUGCAGUGAAAUCGAAAUAUAAAAUUAACUAGUUGUGGACCAGGGAUAAGGAGAUAAGACUAAGACACACGCACUUACACAUAAAUUAAUUAAUCUUACGCGAACUAUACAAACCUAGGCAGUGAUACAGAGUUGCGGUUAAUUGCACCUAUUGCCUACUCAAUGAAAUAAAGUUUAGCCCGAUGGUAACGUA